rnacentral:rRNA from 1 species
UACGUAGGGGGCAAGCGUUGUCCGGAUUUAUUGGGCGUAAAGAGCGUGUAGGCGGCUAGAUAGGUCCGUUGUGAAAACUCGAGGCUCAACCUCGAGACGUCGAUGGAAACCAUCUGGCUAGGAGUCCGGAAGAGGAGAGUGGAAUUCCUGGUGUAGCGGUGAAAUGCGCAGAGUAUCAGGAGGAACACCGGUGGCGAAGGCGGUUCUCUGGGCCUGUACUGACGCUGAGGAACGAAAGCGUGGGGAGCGAACAGG